rnacentral:rRNA from 1 species
CCUACGGGAGGCAGCAGUGGGGAAUAUUGGACAAUGGGGGGAACCCUGAUCCAGCCAUGCCGCGUGUGUGAAGAAGGCCUUUUGGUUGUAAAGCACUUUAAGCAGUGAAGAAGACUCUUCGGUUAAUACCCGGGGACGAUGACAUUAGCUGCAGAAUAAGCACCGGCUAACUCUGUGCCAGCAGCCGCGGUAAUA